GACGAACGCUGGCGGCGUGCUUAACACAUGCAAGUCGAACGGUAAGGCCCUUCGGGGUACACGAGUGGCGAACGGGUGAGUAACACGUGGGUGAUCUGCCCUGCACUUCGGGAUAAGCCUGGGAAACUGGGUCUAAUACCGGAUAGGACCCUGGGAUGCAUGUCCUGGGGUGGAAAGCUUUUGCGGUGUGGGAUGGGCCCGCGGCCUAUCAGCUUGUUGGUGGGGUGAUGGCCUACCAAGGCGACGACGGGUAGCCGGCCUGAGAGGGUGGCCGGCCACACUGGGACUGAGAUACGGCCCAGACUCCUACGGGAGGCAGCAGUGGGGAAUAUUGCACAAUGGGCGCAAGCCUGAUGCAGCGACGCCGCGUGAGGGAUGACGGCCUUCGGGUUGUAAACCUCUUUCAGCACCGACGAAGCGCAAGUGACGGUAGGUGCAGAAGAAGGACCGGCCAACUACGUGCCAGCCGCCGCCGUAA
rnacentral:rRNA from 1 species